AACUUUUUAAUCCUAAAGAGUUGGACUUUAGUUUAAAAUUUUUAUUAUUUUAUACAAAUUGGUAGCCUCUACUUUUAAUUUGAGAAAUUAUCUUAAUUUCUUAGCGAGUACUAGAAUCCACACAGACUGCAUAUAGGCCCAAGAAAAGCUCAGCCAACCCAUGUGCAUCUAUGGGUAGGUUCAUAACCAAUUAUUUUUUCAAAAAAUUUUUAAUAAUUAGUUUUAACCCAGAUGUCUUUUUAGUAGGUGAAGAUCUUCACUGAAAGUUUCGGUUAGGUCCAAUCAUUAAAAUGAACUUACUCAGUGAUUCUAACUAACGAAUGACCAGGC
rnacentral:lncRNA from 1 species